CUCUUCCAACGCGGGCUGCAUAGCUGGAAGUCAUGGCUUCCUCGCUGUGGUUCCAGCAAGGCCGGCGACCUCGGGCCUUUGGCCUAGGGAAGGCUGCGGAGGCGGGCCUUUCUUCGGCAUCUGCAGAGACGGUGAGGAGCAGACCUGCAGGUUGAAGCUUAGAAGUAACGAAUGGAAAUCUGAAAUAGAUGUAGACUGUGGGCUUUGAAAAAAAGUCACAUGAAAACCAUCAUCCAGAGAUGUAAGGAUCCGUGUGAUGAGAUUUCUAUAAAUGGUGCAGCUUCAGUUGGAGGCCGAAAAGGAUACUCCAGAAAAAUACACUGGCUGCAGUGCUGUGGUGACUGCCCUGGACCUGAUGUGGAAUUUCUCUCAUGUGUCUGCAGCGUGUGAAACAGAACUGACCUGCUUUACCUAAAGCAAGUGAAACCGUUCGUCUCCCGUUGUUUGUAAUGUAAGCUUUCUGUUUCAAUUUUAGUAUAUGUGCUGCCGAAGCGAGCACAAGCUUUCUGUUUCUAUCGUACGUGUCCGAAAGAAUCCCCACAAGCCUGUGAUGUUUAGUUAUCCCUGUCUGAACAUCUCGAUUGAGGGAAAACAAUCUGUUCUGAGGCUUAAGGGGCUGGCCCUGGGCUCUUACAAGCAAUUCAGGCUUUACAAGGGAUCAGACGGAACGCACUCCAAAGGGAGUUGUGCUCACAUACCCUGCCCAGACCCCAGUCCUGGUGCGCCAUCCCUCGGCCACUUGAAAACCAGUGGUGAGCUGCCCUGUCACCCUUUGGCUCUGAGGGCACAGGCCAUAAGAGGUGGCAGAAGUGGGCAAGUGGCCCAGAUUUGGCUUAUGCUCUUAUUGUGGAAUGAAAGAGUGCUUGUCACAUAGUUCAAGAAAACGAAUGCGCUCUUUGAGACAGACGGCAAUGGAAGAUGUAUGCCGGCUGUGGCAGUGAGCACACUUCAGGACAAUCUGAUCUCUCUCUCUCGCCUUUGUACUAUAUCCUGAAUGUCAGGAAAGAAGGGGUACCAUGGCACUAGCAUGGUUUCCAGGUGCCUUGUUCACGCAGGGCACUCUCCUGGGGUUAGCCCAGCUCUUGUCUGAAUGGCAUGGCUGGCUUGUGAGCAAGAGAGUAGCAGAGUGGCACUGGGCUUUGUUCCCAUUGAAAUGCCACGCUUGAAGUGGGCACAGAUUGCCUUUCUUUUCUGCUGAAGUUGGGAGGUAUGUGCAGCUCUUCAUAUGUAAGGUCACAUAUUUGUUCAGUCACCAAGGAAACUAUAUUUGGGGUGGGACUUAAAGAACUAGAAAACUGGUCCAAGCAGCCUACAGCCUAAAGCAAAACAUAGUGAAAGGACGUGUUAACAAGUGGGAAGGUCUACCUGCUGGGUUACAGUCUGCUUCUGAGUGGACUUGACUGUCCUGCGGGACCCAAGUGAACCUGGAGGGGUUUUUUGUGUUCUGUUUUUUAAGCUCUGCCGCACGUGAACCCCGGCCCUUGGCAGUGAGAGUGCCGAGUCCUAACCAUUGGAUCACCAGGGGAUUCCCCGAACCUGUAUGUUUGACUUCAGAGGGCGUCUGAAUAUAAAUGCUCCCAGCACUUGGUGGGUGCUCUUUACUGGACCCUUGCCAGAUUCUGUUCUCUCAGAUCACCGUCUCCUGGAAAGAGGCAUUUGGGACCCGUUAGCCUGCACUAGCAACAGCAGCCUGCACUGUAUCAAUCUGGUUGUGCCUUCCACACACACAAACACAGGCAAAAUGAUGGACUGUUUAGAAUGAGUUCCUUCAGGAUUGCCUCUUGGAAAUUAAGGUAUAACUAAGAACAUUUGCAGUACCACACACAGAGUUUAGGUGAUCUUGGUGCAGUGGGGGGACUGCCGUGAUUGUAAAAUGAAACUUACAUGUACAUGCUCUGUUGAAGACUAAGGGGAAACAGGUGUUCAGCCUAAAAAAACAUUUCUCAGUGGAUUUCUACAGUGUGUCUUGGGUUUAACUUUAAAGCAAAUUAAAACAUUUUAAAAGUUGA